AAAUCACAUCAUUCAUCUGAUCCGGGCUAUAUCUCUCCCAGCAAGAUAUGUAUGAAGAACGGAAAAGAAAUGAUUAGAAACAUUAAAAUAGAAAAGAAAAAUUGGAUGAUUUUGAGAAAGGAAUCAGAAGAUUUGUACAACCCACAGGGAGGGAGUUAUUCCUUCUCCCAACUUCCUGCUGUUGGAGUGGAGGCAUGUGACCUUGGCUGGCUGAUUAAACGCUCCAGCCUGGGUUUUGAAUAUGGAAGAACGUGCUGAGGUUGUGAGCUGAAAAGCAAAUGUGAAGACUCUGUGCUUUGCCAAACUGCAGCAUCAUGCAGACUAUCAUCAUGGAAUUGCCUUAUAACUAGAAGAGGAAUGGACAUCGCCUCAGAAGCUGAAGAGGAUGCUGGACUGUGAACAGGAUGCAGAGGCUUAUGAACCUUUAUCAUCCUCUCCUUGGGAAGAAAGUUCCAAGUUCUUCGCAGAUUUAAUGCAAGUUAGAUUCUUCAAACUCUAGAGGCAUCAACAUGAAUUGGAAAAGUAUAGACAACCUUCAUAAUGGGAUGACGUCUAUUGAAUCUCAGCACACAGUGUGGGCCCAGCAGUUGAAGACAAGCCAAGCCCCAAGGAGGAGGGCAAGCAAUCCCAGAAGCCACUGGGCAUGGGAGGGGCAAGGUUUUCUCAACAUGGCCUCACAGGGGUUACAGCUAUGAAAGCAGAUGUUCGAGACCAUGAGUAUCUCAGAUCAUUCUUUGGAAAAAAUAAAUUUUUCUUCCAGUGAUGUUGAGGGCGAGGAUGAAAGAAAUGAGAAAUUAUUUUUCUGGAGGCCGGAAGUCCCAGAUCAAGAUGGUGGCAGGGUUGGUUUCUCCGGUUGCUUCUCUCCUUGGCUUGAAGAUGGCUGCUUUCUUGCUGUGCCUUUAGCUCAGUUCACUGAGGAAAUGGAUUUGGAAACAGAAAAUAAGAAUACAAAUUGAAAACCUCUUUGAGGUGAUUUUCAUUAUGAUGACUCUUUCAGCAAUGAUGGAACAGAGGCCUAGAGAAGCAACACUGCAUGACCUUUGCUUUGUCUGGCUGUCUCUUCCUCACAUUUUGUCCUUCGGUGUAAGAGACGUCUCUUGGUUUCCUCAGACGUGAAUCUGUGUGCUGUUUUUUGUUCUCCUGGAUAUCUGGCCAACGUCAUCUCUUCCAUCUUGCUUUGAUGGACAUUGGAUUGUUC
rnacentral:lncRNA from 1 species